GACGAACGCUGGCGGCGUGCCUAAUACAUGCAAGUCGAGCGAAGAUUUUCUGGUGCUUGCACCGGCACAACUUAGCGGCGAACGGGUGAGUAACACGUAAAGAACCUGCCUUAUAGACUGGGACAACUAUUGGAAACGAUAGCUAAUACCAGAUAACAGCAUUAACUGCAGGGUUGAUGUUUGAAAGUUGGUUUUGCUAACACUAUGAGAUGGCUUUGCGGUGCAUUAGCUAGUUGGUGGGGUAAAGGCCUACCAAGGCGACGAUGCAUAGCCGACCUGAGAGGGGGAUCGCCCACACUGGGACUGAGACACGGCCCAGACGCCUACGGGAGGCAGCAGUAGGGAAUCUGACGCAAUGGGCGAAAGCCUGACGGAGCAACGCCGCGUGAGUGAAGAAGGAUUUCGGUUCGUAAAGCUCUGUUGUUAGGGAAGAAUGAUUGUGUAGUAACUAUACACAGUAGAGACGGUACCUAACCAGAAAGCCACGGCUAACUACGUG
rnacentral:rRNA from 1 species